rnacentral:lncRNA from 1 species
AACUCCUAAAACAUACCACACACUUAAAAGAAAAGAUCAAAAAGGGAUAGACCUAUCUCAUCCAUACUUGUGUUGGUUCAUCUGACACAAGGUCAUUGAUGAACCAAUUAGCCUUAUGAUGUUGAGAUUUCAUUGGUCAACGAAAGGGAUGGGAAAGAAUGGGAAUGAAGAUGAAAGGGGAGGGGAAAUGAGAGAAACACAAAUUGAUCA